UGCCGGUGCUGCACUGCCUGUAUGUCCCGUCGCUAAUCAAGUUCACAUUUAUUUUUCAACUACUAAAAAAGUUCACAUUUAUUUAUUUAUUUCCCACCAAAAAAGCCUAUUUAUUAAUUUUAUGGCAAGGUGCUGCCUGGGGAUGGAUGAUUACUUGCUGUGAUGACGUUGGUUUCUCUUUACAGAAACGUGGGAGGUUCUUCAAUUGAUUUGCAGAUUUCGGUCCGCCGGAAUAGUUGAUUAGAUUCCGGGCUGGAGAUAUGCAGAUCAGGGAGGCGCAUUGAUGCACCGACUAUAUUUGUGUUAGAGCGUCAAACGAUCCGGACGGGCUACUUGGUCAAUGACCGGACCCAAAAACGCUAUCGGCUUCGCAUUUUCUAUACACGGCCCGUACUUAGGGUGGAUAUAAGGAUGCUCAGGCGUGUCCGUUACGUCGGACUGACCGGUAGGGUCUGCGCCACUUCGCUCAUAUCCGCCUCCCCCGCCUUGCUCUAGCAACUCUCUUUUCAUCUAUGUUCGUGCUCCUCCGCAUAACCGUCACCGAACUUUUGUCGCUAUCUGUGCUCCGCCACCAUUCCCAACCCAAGGCUUCGCCACCGGACGCCCCAGCCCACACGCUACCGGCCAGGCCGCCAUCGGACAAGGUCGUCGCCACCAGACGCCGCUCCGGUUAACACUCCUAUUUGCACCUCACGCUUUACGUGUUCGCUGAAGUGUCUGAGCUGGCUUUUUAUACUUUGGACCAUUACUUCAAGGGUUCCAUCAAGGGCAGGUGCACGUCUUCUUUACACAGACUACUUCACAGUGGUCCAAACAUUUCAUGAAACUUCCUUUCGCCGUUGCUACCGGAUGAGCAGAAACUUGUUCGUGUGGGUAGUGGAAGGGCGUGGACAAGGCUGAUGACAAGUUCAAACUGAGAAAGGAUUGUUGCGGAAAACUAUCCUUCUCUCCUCUACAUAAAUGCACGGCUACUCUCAGGAUGCUUGCUUAUGUUAAAAUAGCAGAUGCAAUUGAUGCAGAAAUUCAGAUUGGAGAGACCACGGUCCUGAACACCACGAAGCAAUUUGCACGCACUGUGGUGAAAGUGUUCGGACCAGAGUAAACCCGGGCAUACGCCGGGCCAGGCCGGGUUUCUGGCCGGGCUUGUAAAAGCCCGAUCUUCUUUUCUCAAGCCCGAGCCCGGCCCGAAGCCCGAAAUGCACCCUUUUCUCAAGCCCGAGCCCGGCUCGAAGCCCGAAAUGCACUCUUUUCUCAAGCCCGAGCCCGGCCCGAAGUCAAGCCCGACCCGAAUGUUGUUUUCUAGUGUUCGCACAUGUAAGCCCGGCCCCAAGCCCGAAAGCCCGGCCCGAAAUUCUGGAAAAGAGAAGCUCAAGCCCGACCUGAAGUACCUUCCGGGCUGCAAAAUGAGGCCCAAGCCCGACCCGAAUGUCAAGCCCGAAGCCCUUUUUUCGGGCCGGGUCAUCAGGUCGGGUUAUCCAUGCCCGGGUUUAGACCAGAGUAUGAGAGAGUCAAAUGUGGAGGACACAGAAAAAUUGUUGGCAAUUGGAGCAACAAGAGGAUUUACCAGUAUGUUAGAUUCAGUUGAUUGCAUGCACCCGCAAUGGAAGAACUGCCCAAAAAGUUUGCGUGGGCAAUACCAAGGUCACGUCAUAGAAGUCACCAUCAUACUUGAAGCGGUGAUAUCACAUGACUUGUGGAUUUGACAUGCUUUCUAUGGCACACCAGGUUCGUGCAAUGACAUCAAUAUGCUCCAACGAUCUCCUUUGUUCAAGAGACUCUGUGAUGGGAAGCUCCAUCGUGCAACUAUACCAAAAUGGGCACAACUACACCAUGGGGUACUGAUGACCCAGUCGUAUAGAGGAUCAGUCAUAGUCCUUUCGAUAAAUAAAGAGUGUCGAACCCAACAGGAAGGAGAAGGAAUUGAUAGACAGUUUUUAGCAAGGUAUUCUCUGCAAGUGCUGGAAGAUAGUUUGAUAAUUUGAUAGCAAUAUAAUUGUUAGCAAGUAACAAACAACAAAAGUAGCAAGGUGCGGCAAGUGGCCCAAUCAUCAAUGUUGCUAAGGACUGCGACUUGCGAUAGGCGUUGGGAUUUUCCUGAAGAAGAAGGGUGAUGUAGUAUAGUAGCAGAUAAUAUUUCCCUCAAUUAAGAACCAAAGUUUAUCGAACCAGUAGGAGACACCACACGAACACUUUCAGUGGUACCUGCACACACAUAAAGCAAGUACUUGCACCCAAUGCGCGCAAGAGGAUUGUCAAUCCCCUUGUACUCGUUAAUUGCAAUGAUUAAAUCUGAUAGUAGUAGAUAGAUAAAAUAAAAAGGAAAUUAAAAUAAAUAAAUUACAACAAGUAUAUUUAGGGUUUUAGGUAAUAUAAAGUGAAUGGACCCAGGGGCCAUAACGUUCACUAGAGGCAUCUCUCUUGUGAGCAUAGUAUGGUGGGUAAACAAAUUAUUGUUGGGCAAUUGAUAGAAUAGCGCAUAGUUAUGAUGAUUCUUCAUGGCAUGAUCAAUAUAUAGGCAUUAUGUUUGUGACAAGUAGACCGUUAAUCUUACUAAAUCUACUACUAUUACUUCACACCUCGACCGCUAUCCAGCAUGCAUCUUAAGGUAUUAAGUUCAUAACAAACAGAGUAAUGCUUGGGCCAUUGAUGUCCGCAAGUGCACAAGGUUUAGUUUUAGCUUUUUUGAAGUAAGAGUAUCGGUCCUACUAGGAGCACAGGAAUCAAUCUCUUCUCUCUUGAAUGCUUCGAGCAAAAUGCAUGUAAAUUGUUAGCGAUCCAAAGUAGUGGUAAAGUGGUGCAAAUGAUGUUGCAAGUGUAAAGACAAAUAAUUCAAAAAAAGUAAACAACUAGAAUUAUAAAAUGAGAAACUUGAGACAAGUUGGAUUAAAACAUUCCCAGGGAGUCCAGAAUCCCCUCUAGUGUGCAUCUAUAGCGGUGCCUAAACACAAUGCCACAUCAGAUUUUUAAACCACUUUACAUGUUUCUCUUUGUGGGCAAAACCGGUACAGAUACGUGCAUACAGAAGGGCAAGUCCAAGAAGAAAUCUACUGGUGUCGGUAAGACCGUCUCUCAGAAGAAGAACAAGGGCAGAUCCUCUAAGGAGACUGAAUGUUUCUAUUGCAAACAGAAGGGUCACUGGAACUGGAACUGCAAGAAAUAUUUGGCGGAUAAGAAGAAUGGUUCUUCCGGUAAUGGGACUACAGAAAGCUCACAAGUUGAGAAGAAAUAAAGAUGUGAUGCUAGUCCAGGAUGGUGAUGGGAUCUCUACUCAAGACCAAUGGAAUCAUGGCUUUAGUUUAUCUUCAAGAUUUAUCUUAGAAUCGAAUAAUAGUUAUUAUGUUUCGGAGUUGUGUAAGACAUUAUGUUUUGGAUUAUGCAACGGAUAUUCUUAUAAAUUUUUGAACAAUAGUUGUUAAAGUGAUUAUAGGAAUAUGUUUGGAUUUACCUCAGAUUUUGAUGGUUCAUUCAUGAAUCUUGAUUUGAAAA